AGCUUUGUACAGUGGCAGUAUCGUAGCCAAGGAGGUUUAUCCGAGGUGCGAUUCUUGCUAAUUGGAAACAAAGUGCAAGUCAC
rnacentral:snRNA from 1 species